rnacentral:lncRNA from 1 species
ACCAACCUUACCUCACAUCCUGGCUUGCCCUGCUGGGGAAAGGUGGGGUCCGCUGGCCAGACCCUGACAACCUUCCCGAGCCCCGGAGGUUUCAGCCCUACCACGACUCGCUUUUGCAGACCCUCCCUUAGCGGGAGCUUCUGUGAGUCUGAUCUGAUACCUGCCUCAUCUCCAUUGUGAAUUGCUGUAGCUCCACCCCAGGCCUACAGCAUGCAGUCCCAGGAGAGUGGCGUUCACUACAGCAGGUGGGCUACAUCACUGGCUACUACGUGCACAAGUGCAAAUAAAUGCUGGCCCACUCCCA